CAAACUGCCGCGGUGGCGGGAGCUAGGCUCGCUUGGCUGGAGGCGGGUCAUCCUUCUCCUCGCAGCUCCCGCAACCCCGUGGCUCCCUGGAGCCACCACCACCUUCAGUGCGCUCAGUUACUGGAAGUCAAAGCUUAUGCCGGCGCAGCUGCAUCUGGUGGUGGCAGUGGCUACAAACCUCCUCUCCUCAUCUCCCCAAGGCGGCGCCCGGGCCACCCGGGCCGAAGCGCGGAUGGAUCGCCAGUGAGCCGAGAUGGCCAGACCGACGCCGCGGACAAGGACCUACUGGAGGCUAAGGGAGUUCUGGAGGACAAGUGAAGAGAGUGAUCCAGAGGAACAAACUCGGGCGCCGGAAGAUCCUACUCAGAUAGGCUAAAGAUUCCAAUGGAUGGAGGAAGAGAAGGCUUCGUAGGAACCAGAACAGCUGUCAGCUGCAGAGCCAAGCUUCUCCAGGAAGCCUGAGUCAUCCUGAGUCCCUCCCAUCUCAGAAAUGAUGUGUAGUUUCCAAAACAAUUUAUCUCUACUGGAACAAGGAAAUAAACAAAAGAAAAAGGAAGAGAUAGAAUCCAGGAAGCAGAAGGCGUAACACAGGACCGAGAUGAAGGGAUGGUGAGAGAAAUUCCAGAGUGACAUCUGUACAGCAGACGUGGAGAACCACCAGACCAGCCUGGAGCCAGAGGACAGAAAGCUGGGAGAGCUGUCCCCAGGAGGCAGACAAAACAUGCAGCAAAAACAGUGCUGAAUUUCCUUAUACAUUUGCUCUUUUGAAAAAUUGUACUGUUGGAAAAAGAGGGAAAAUUUAGCAGUAGAUAGAAGCUGAGCAAAUGAAAGCAAAAAAGACAUAGCUAGGGACAGGAAAAAUUAAAAAAUUGAACACACAAAAGU
rnacentral:lncRNA from 1 species